rnacentral:lncRNA from 1 species
UGAAAAUUCUGAAAACAACUAAACGGCUGAAACUUCUGCAGAAAAUAUUGUUUUAUUGAGCUUUAGUUUUGAAAUAUGAAAUCCUCUUCCUCCUGAAUCAAUUUCCUGAUUGUUUGAACUUAGAAAUGGUUUGAGACUUAGUCAUUGAGGUUGGUUUUGAGGUAAACUGGGUUGAUUGUGUGUUUGAAACUGGAUCUUGGUUUGCUGUAUUUCAUUUUCUGAUUUUAAAAUUGGUUGGUUGGUUUACUCCUGCUGCUGGGAUCUGCUGCUGUUUCUUCAUUUGCUGAAACCUCCUUUCUUCUUGUUUCCUCUUAUUUUCCAGGUACACGACCCUGUAACUCUGUUGGUUGUGAGGUGAAAACUUGAAGAAUGAAUUGAAAAUGAAGAAUCGAAGCAUAGAAAUUAUCCCAUUUUUGUUUCAUUGAUUUGUUUUCUAAUUUACUAUGAUCACCUUAUCUAAAUCAGCUUUAAAUCAGUAGUUUGUAUUUAUUAGUAGACGUAAUAUGGUGUUAGUAUUCAUAAGUAGAUCUGUUAGACUUGGGAUGGUAUCUGUUCAUGCAAAGUCAGUGAUAAUGCUCAAAGUUAUGCUUAUUUGAGGUUUAUUGAAAGAUUAUUAUUAUUGAGUGUUGAACUGUUGUUUGUGGAUUUGGUCAUUUAUGGGCCAAAUCAAUAAAUAUCGAGUUCAAUACUAGGCCUGUUGGUGAUGUGGUGCUAGCGAUUGACCAAGUAUUCUUAAACAUAUCAUUUGUUGUUGGUUAAUCUUUGCGCAAAAGUAAUACGACUGGUCAUGUUGAUAUGAGAUUGAAAUUGUCAAAAUUUAGAAAUCCUGCUUGCUUAUUAUCAGUUGUAGAAUCGUAAGUCACAUUUGCUUUCAAAAUCAAAUCCUUGUUGGAUAUCAUGUGAUUGGUCGCAAAUAAGUUGAAAAUGAUUCCAAGUUUGCCUGCACAUACGUUAGUCUCAUUGUUAGUCCAUUUUGAAUUCACUUACAACUUCAGUUGUUGUCCAUAAGUUGCAGGGAUUUGAUGUGGAGCCUUGUACUCAAUAGUUGCAGGGUUCCGAAUUUGGGCUCAUCACGUGGCCUAAUCCUGAGAAUUCCCUUGAGUAGAUCGGAGCACUUCUCUUGUUGGGCCAUCAGUCCAUUUGUGUUGGCUCAAGCUUUUUUUACGUAAAUGGAUUAGUUUUCCUCAUGCAAGC